rnacentral:rRNA from 1 species
AAAUUGAAGAGUUUGAUCAUGGCUCAGAUUGAACGCUGGCGGCAGGCCUAACACAUGCAAGUCGAACGGUAACAGGAAGCAGCUUGCUGCUUCGCUGACGAGUGGCGGACGGGUGAGUAAUGUCUGGGAAACUGCCUGAUGGAGGGGGAUAACUACUGGAAACGGUGGCUAAUACCGCAUAACGUCGCAAGACCAAAGAGGGGGACCUUCGGGCCUCUUGCCAUCAGAUGUGCCCAGAUGGGAUUAGCUUGUUGGUGAGGUAACGGCUCACCAAGGCGACGAUCCCUAGCUGGUCUGAGAGGAUGACCAGCCACACUGGAACUGAGACACGGUCCAGACUCCUACGGGAGGCAG